rnacentral:rRNA from 1 species
UAAUUUAAUUCAUAUUCUUUUUUUGCUAGGGCGAGAGUAGUACUAAGAUGGGUGACCCCCUGGGAAGUCCUCGUGUUGCAUCCC